GGCCUGGCUGACCGGUCCGCCUCACCGCGUGCACUGGUUCGGCCGGGUCUUUCCUUCUGGCUAACCUCAUGCCCUUCACUGGGUGUGCUGGGGGACCAGGACUUUUACUUUGAAAAAAUUAGAGUGUUCAAAGCAGGCAUAUGCUCGAAUACAUUAGCAUGGAAUAAUAGAAUAGGACGUGCGGUUCUAUUUUGUUGGUUUCUAGGACCGCCGUA
rnacentral:rRNA from 1 species